GGGUGCGAUCAUACCAGGAUUAAUGCACCGGAUCCCAUCAUAACUCCGCAGUUAAGAGCGCUUGGGCCAGACUAGUACUGGGAUUUGUGACCUCCCGAGUAGUCCUGGUGUUACACCUU
rfam:Picea glauca, whole genome shotgun sequence.